AGUAUAUUUUUUAAAAUACAGGGAUUAAGUAGUUAGCUUCAUCAAAAUACAAGAACUAAAUAGUAAUUUUCCCUCACUGUAAUAUUCUUUUCUUCUAAUAUUCUUUUCUUCUAGAACUUGAUAGCCUCUGCAGAGAUUCAAUAUUACUCAUGAAAUGCCACAGAAGUCAGAAAUGAAAAACAACCAAGUAUGACAAAAAUGAACUCAUAGUUGCAAACAGUGAGGUAAAUAUAUUUUUAGUAUAUCCAUCCAGUGAAGCCUCGAGAGAGUGAUCAAUAUCUAAUGAGUCUAAAUCGAAAAGAAGCCUCUAAAAGAGCCCACCAAAACUUACCCACAACAU
rnacentral:misc_RNA from 1 species